UACAGAGGUCUCAAGCGUUGUUCGGAUUCAUUGGGCGUAAAGGGUGCGUAGGCGGCGGGGCAAGUCUGAUGUGGAAUCCCGGGGCUCAACCCCGGAACUGCAUUGGAUACUGCUCUGCUUGAGCACUGGAGAGGAGACUGGAAUUUACGGUGUAGCAGUGAAAUGCGUAGAUAUCGUAAGGAAGACCAGUGGCGAAGGCGAGUCUCUGGACAGUUGCUGACGCUGAGGCACGAAGGCCAGGGGAGCAAACGGG
rnacentral:rRNA from 1 species